GACGAACGCUGGCGGCGUGCUUAACACAUGCAAGUCGAACGGAAAGGCCUCUUGCUUGCAAGGGGUACUCGAGUGGCGAACGGGUGAGUAACACGUGGGUGAUCUGCCUUGCACUCUGGGAUAAGCUUGGGAAACUGGGUCUAAUACCGGAUAUGAACUGCCUUUAGUGUGGUGGUUGGAAAGUUUUUUCGGUGCAAGAUGAGCUCGCGGCCUAUCAGCUUGUUGGUGGGGUAAUGGCCUACCAAGGCGUCGACGGGUAGCCGGCCUGUGAGGGUGUACGGCCACAUUGGGACUGAGAUACGGCCAAGACUCCUACGGGAGGCAGCAGGGGGGAAUAUUGCACAAUGGGCGGAAGCCUGAUGCAGCGACGCCGCGUGGGGGAUGACGGCCUUCGGGUUGUAAACUCCUUUCGACAGGGACGAAGCUUUUUGUGACGGUACCUGUAUAAGAAGCACCGGCUAACUACAUGCCAGCAGCCGCCGUAACAC
rnacentral:rRNA from 1 species